rnacentral:rRNA from 1 species
GGACUACCGGGGUUUCUAAUCCCGUUCGCUCCCCUAGCUUUCGCACCUCAGCGUCAGAAACGAGCCAGGACCCUGCCUUCGCCUUUGGUGUUCCUCCGGAUAUCUACGCAUUUCACUGCUCCACCCGGAGUUCCAUGUCCCUCUCUCGCUCUCAAGCCCACCAGUUUUCGAAGUCCUUCACCAGUUAAGCUGGUGACUUUCACCCCGAACUUGGCAGACCGCCCGCGUGCCCUUUACGCCCAAUAAUUCCGGACAACGCUCGCCCCCUACGUAUUACCGCGGCUGCUGGCAC